UUUCUGCAUGUAGACGCAGCAUGCCAGAAUUACAAUGCUGACUACUGCUGUUCUAUAAGUUAAUGGCUCUGAAGGUGUUAAUAUUCACGUCAAACUGGGUCUGAUAAUUUUACUUAUGCUGCACAUAGUCUUGUGAAGAAGGCAACGAGUUCCACUCUUGCUUUUGAGGUAUAAUGUAUCUUCUGUAGAGGGUCUACAGUGCAUCCUCUAAUCAUAAGAAGCCCAAAAGAAAGAAAGAAGAAAAUGAGGACUGGUAGCAGUGAACUGCCACAAACAACCCCGCUCCGGUACCAUGUACUGGAAGAAUUGGCAGAUACCAUAAGGAUGAGGGCAUUCUGACCAGCACAGCGUUUAUUGCCCAUCCCUAACUGUGCAGAGGGCUAUUAAGACUCAACCAUAUUUCGUAGGUUUUGGAGUCACAUGUGGGCCAGACCAGGUUGGGUUUUUCCUGACAAUUGUUAAUGGAUUCAUGGUCAUCAUCAGACUUUCAAUUCCAGGGUUACAUUGAAUUCAAAUUCUACCAUCUGCCAAGGCAGGAUUUGAACCCAGAUCCCCAGAACAUUACCUGGAUAUCUGGAAUAACAGCCUAGACAUAAUACCACUAGGCUGUCACCUUCCUUUAACUAUACUGCAACUAUACAUAACCAGGUGUAAAACAUUUAGAACAUGUACAGGUUGUUAGACUCACUGUAUAAUUGUAUGUUUGUUUGAAAUGUCAAGUAAAGUUAGAGAAGGAACCAUUCUAUUUUAUCUGC